GCCUUGCGGCUCUAAAUCCAAGGAGGCAGCAGGCGCGCAAAUUACCCAAUCCCGACACGGGGAGGUAGUGACAAUAAAUACUGAUACAGGGCUCUUUUGGGUCUUGUAAUCGGAAUGAGUACAAUUUAAAUCCCUUAACGAGGAACAAUUGGAGGGCAAGUCUGGUGCCAGCAGCCGCGGUAAUUCCAGCUCCAAUAGCGUAUAUUAAAGUUGUUGUGGUUAAAAAGCUCGUAGUUGAACCUUGGGCCUGGCUGGCCGGUCCGCCUCACCGCGUGCACUGGUCCGGCCGGGCCUUUCCCUCUGCGGAACCCCAUGCCCUUCACUGGGUGUGGCGGGGAAACAGGACUUUUACUUUGAAAAAAUUAGAGUGCUCAAGGCAGGCCUAUGCUCGAAUACAUUAGCAUGGAAUAAUAGAAUAGGACGUGUGGUUCUAUUUUGUUGGUUUCUAGGACCGCCGUAAUGAUUAAUAGGGACAGUCGGGGGCAUCAGUAUUCAAUUGUCAGAGGUGAAAUUCUUGGAUUUAUUGAAGACUAACUACUGCGAAAAAUUUUUUGCCAAAAAA
rnacentral:rRNA from 1 species